GUUUUUUCUCAUGAAAUUCUUCAUUUUUCAGAGAUUUUAAAAUAGAGAAAAGGAAGAUAAAUCAAUUCAUCUCGUUCCUUGUUAUCUUACAUUGAUUUCGGGUGCACAUCUCCAGAACAAGUAUCAGGGUCCAGGAGAGACAAUAUUCAGCUUUGGUUCCUUGAUGCUUUUAAUUAUGCUAUUGCAAUCAAGAUGGAUGUGAUGAAUUUGAGUAUAAGAUUGCUUGGACCUUCCUUUUGUUGAGAAGGUAUCCAUAAUGCAUUAAGGAAUCAAUGCCCCAUAUUUGUUGGAGACAAUAAUCGACGUUAAAGAGAAUAAGAGUGCCAAAAAAGAACAUGAUGUACAGUUUUGUUAUUUGGACUUCCAAUGUUCUUUUAAGAGGUGUGGGAGUAGUUCCUACCAUUUAUACAUGAGAAUAUAUAGCUGCAAAGGGGUUGUCUAUCAAAAGUCACUCUCCAGAAAUGAUGCAAAAAUAAGCUGCAAAAGUUCGGCAGUUUCACUUGUGCUUUAUUUUCAAUGACUUUUAUUUCAUAGUCAUUACAACGAGGAUCUGCCUCAUGUUUUCGAUGACCUCAAGAGCUGUUGUGUUCCAAAUUUCUCGUCUGAAGAAUGUUAGGAAUGGUCUACUUUUUCAAAUUAUAGAAGUGGCUGAUGUAACAUUUACACAACUACCAGGAGACUAGGAAACUAGUUGGAGGCUUGUACUGUGCUAGAAGACCUGUACUGGAGACCACUUUAGCUCACACCUAUCGAAUGCACACU